CGGCCCAGACUCCUACGGGAGGCAGCAGUUGGGAAUAUUGGACAAUGGAGGGAACCCUGAUCCAGUGACGCCGCGUGAAGGAAGAAGGUCUUCGGAUUGUAAACUUAUUUUAUCAGGGAAGAAACAAAUGACAGUACCUGAAGAAGAAGCACCGGCAAACUACGUGCCAGCAGCCGCGGUAA
rnacentral:rRNA from 1 species